CAGAACCUUGAAGUGAACCUUGGAUCUAUAUUAAAAUAAUACUCAAAGCAAUUCCAUGCAUUUUGACAAUCCUCUCGCUAUACACCUCAACUAACCUAUGCAACGGAUAACUGGUCUUUAUUAGAAUGAAAUGAGCUGAUUUGGUCAGCUUAUCCACCACAACCCAAAUUAUAUCACUUCCUUUAGAAGUCUUCAAUAAAAUUGUUACAAAAU
rnacentral:lncRNA from 1 species